rnacentral:rRNA from 1 species
GGGCUUGACAUCCCACGAACCUGCCCGAAAGGGUAGGGUGCCCGCAAGGGAGCGUGGAGACAGGUGGUGCAUGGCUGUCGUCAGCUCGUGUCGUGAGGUGUUGGGUUAAGUCCCGCAACGAGCGCAACCCUCACCCCUUGUUGCCACCGGGUUAUGCUGAGCACUCUAGGGGAACUGCCAGCGUCAAGCUGGAGGAAGGCGGGGAUGACGUCAAGUCAUCAUGCCCCUUACGCCCUGGGCGACACACGUGCUACAAUGGCUGGUACAAAGGGAUGCAAGACCGCGAGGUGGAGCUAAUCCCAAAAAACCGGUCUAAGUUCAGAUUGCAGUCUGCAACUCGACUGCAUGAAGGAGGAAUCGCUAGUAAUCGCGCAUCAGCACGGCGCGGUGAAUACGUUCCCGGGCCUUGUACACACCGCCCGUCACACCACGAAAGCCGGCUGUACUCGAAGUCGCUGAG